rnacentral:lncRNA from 1 species
GAGGAGCACAGCAUACGAUGGAGAUAGGAUUGAGUGGCAUGGCUCGACUCUUAUGUUUGCCCAUCUAUGAUCAGCAGAUGAUUGCCCCAGGGUAUGGGGUCGAGGGGAUCCAGAAGCUCUCGAAGUCAGGAGGAGAUCGAAUAUCGAAUCGAGAUAGAGAUUGUUAGAAUUUGAUAUCUUGAGAUUCGAUCUAUGUUGAGCCAUAGUGAGGUCUGUGAUGAAAAAUGAAGUCCAACG